rnacentral:rRNA from 1 species
UACGGAGGGGGCUAGCGUUGUUCGGAAUUACUGGGCGUAAAGCGCACGUAGGCGGCUUUGUAAGUUAGAGGUGAAAUCCCAAGGCUCAACCUUGGAACUGCCUUUGAUACUGGAAGUCUUGAGUGUGGAAGAGGUUGGUGGAACUGCGAGUGUAGAGGUGAAAUUCGUAGAUAUUCGCAAGAACACCAGUGGCGAAGGCGGCCAACUGGUCCACAACUGACGCUGAGGUGCGAAAGCGUGGGGAGCAAACAGG